UACGAAGGGUCCAAGCGUUAAUCGGAAUCACUGGGCUUAAAGCGUACGCAGGCGGACAUGCAGGUAUCUUGUGAAAUCCCUCGGCUCAACCGGGGAAUUGCUUGGUAAACCGCAUGUCUCGAGACAGGUAGGGGCCAUCGGAACGAUAGGUGGAGUGGUGAAAUGCGUUGAUAUCUAUCGGAACGCCAAAGGAGAAAUCAGAUGGCUGGGCCUGUUCUGACGCUCAGGUACGAAAGCGUGGGGAGCGAACGGG
rnacentral:misc_RNA from 1 species